GGCUAGCUCAAUCGGUCGAGCACGAGACUCUUAAUCUCGGGGUGGUGGGUUCAUGCCCCACGAUGGGCA